AAGUGUUGAUUGACCAAAAUUCAAUUCCUUUUCCUGGGAUCCCAGCCCAUACCUAAGAACCCAACCCAACCUUUCUUCUUCAACAACAAACAAACCGUGUUGAGAAGUAGUGGAAACAUGCGUGAGCAACACCAUCGACGUCUGGACGCGCCUCAUGCGAGGGUGAGUUCACAAGGGCAGCUACAAUAUCUCCAAACAACACCUUUUUCGUCAAAAUGCACGAAAAAGAAGAUGCGUUUCUCUUUUCCGUGUUGAUGUCUUCCUCACCAGUACACUUAUAUAGUAGAUCAGUUUGCUUUUCAAUCCUUCUAGUUGUGUCUGGUCGUCCUUGCUCGCUUGGAGAUAAAGCCACAUAGCACUCAAGGACGAUCGAUCGAUCCAAGCCCUCCACGCUGCCCCUGUUGUCUGAAUUUUUUGCGGGUUUGGUUUGAAUUCUCGUAUAAUCCAGCUAAUCCUUCAUCCUUGGAAAAUUUGAAUUGAGACUUGAUUUUAGGGUUUCAAUUCUGCCCUUGUUCUCACCCAAAAUAUACCUUUUUCCCCCAAAAGGUAAAACCUCAGAUUCCCACUAUAUAAACGUCUUUUCUUUUCAUCUGGGGGGAGGGACUUUUUUUAGUCAAAAAUUUUAGAGAAAUAUUGAUAGAUACUUCAAGAAAAGACUAAGCCAAGGAAAAUAUAGUGAGACGUUCAAAGCGGAAAACUUAGUUUUGGUCGGAGUAUCACACUUUUUAUUUCAUUUUGAAUCUGUUUCUCUCAAGUUCCUCCGUGUAUGAGGUUUUGCACAGAAUUCUGGUUGAUCGUAUGUGUUCGAGUUUCCAUUUGUUUGUAAAAGUUGUUGUUCAUCCUAGCUCGUCACUGUCUCCACUUCGCUGCCCGAAAAGUGAUUGGGUCACAAAAUCCCAAUAGCGUUAUCUCGUGAGUCAGUCGGUCAAUGGAAACAAGGAACAGGUCCCCAAAAGUCGAUGCAUAGGUUCAUUUAGUUAAACAUGUACUUCAGUUGAAUUUAAUGUUGACGCACAAUUAUUUGUUGUGAAAUGCACGUGAUCGGUUGUGGAAUCCUUUUCGGACUCAAAUA